rnacentral:ncRNA from 1 species
GUUCGGUAAAGGCAAACCCGGAGCGAUCCGGGAACGCAAAGGAGAGAGCCUUAUAUGCCACAGAAACAGUUUAAACUGUUUCCGUGGGUGACGGAAAGACCGCCUCACUGCCGAA